rnacentral:rRNA from 1 species
AGUAGUUUGAUCAGUGGCUCGAGGACGAACGCUGGCGGCGUGCCUAACACAUGCAAGUCGAGCGGAGACAUAUGACGAAGCGGAAGUUUUCGGAUGGAAGCGGAGAUAUAUGUUUUAGCGGCGGACGGGUGAGUAACGCGUGAGCAACCUGUCCUUCACGAGGGGGAUAACACAGCGAAAGUUGUACUAAUACCGCAUGAGACCACAAGGCCACAUGGUCCAGGGGUCAAAGGAGCAAUCCGGUGAGGGGUGGGCUCGCGUCCGAUUAGAUAGUUGGUGAGGUAACGGCCCACCAAGUCGACGAUCGGUAGCCGACCUGAGAGGGUGAUCGGCCACAUUGGGACUGAGACACGGCCCAAACUCC